rnacentral:lncRNA from 1 species
GCAAAACUUAUAAGUAAUUCACUUUCUUGUCUGAAGUAACUAAUUCUAAUGCUUUGAUACAAACUUUCUAUAUAAUUUUCAUGCUUCUAGUAUAAAAUUAAAACUAUUUAACUAUAUUAGAUGAUUAGAUGUUUUUUUAAAAAUAAUAUUUAAUGAUGUGUGUGAUUAUAUGCAUAUAAUAAUAUGAUCUUGAAAGGGAGAGAAAGGGAGACAAGAAAAAGAAUAAAAGAAAGAGAGAAGAAAAAAGGAAGAGAGAAAACAGGGAAGGCAGAAACAGGGGUUGGAAGAGAAACGAGUGUACUCCAGAAGCUCUUAAGAGCGUCAAUAUAUAGAGAUACAAUUCAUCCUUGAAAACAGUUGUGUAUUGUUUAACAUAAAGACUUAUUACACUGGACAAGGAGGGAGGUAUAGUCUAACUUCAACUCUAGGAGGUCAGAAGCAAGUCAAAGCUAGCCUCUGCUACAUAGUGACAGUUAAUCUUUAAAAUCAGUCUUUCCUGCUGCACUCCUAGGAUAAGCUCCUAGCCUGGGGUCUUAACUAGAAUCAGAAACUGACACUAAGAAGGAAGGUCCUGAGCAAACCAGAGUAACUGGUGGAGCUCUGCCCUCAUCCUGAAGUGGCCAGUUGGCUCCUGGAACCAGCCCUUCCACCUCCAACCACCCACCGAUUUCCUAGGCUAUCUGCUCUACUUCCUUGUCACACACCUCUGCUGGAUAGCUGCCCUUCCAUUGGGAUGGGGCUAGUGGCCUGGAUGAGGGAACUGCCGGACCCAUGAAGAAUGUUUCUAAAACGAUGUUUCUAGAACCAUAGUAUGGCAGGGCACAGGAUCCAGGUUAAGUAAGGGCUUCUUGGAUCUGCCGUAGCCUGGGUGGAAGACUGAAGUUGUCUAAGUCCGUGGGAGCCUGGAAUGCUAACCCAGCCGGGAGCUCUGGCCUGAGGGCUUGCUGGGCCCAGGAAGCUGGUUUCUGUCAAAAGAGUGGUCUGUGGUUUCUGCCUCUCCCACUUUUGUUCAAUGUGUUGAUUUAUUUUUUUCCCCUUUCAAACUUAAUUAACAAAAGUCUAAUAAUUUUUGCCAUUAGACAUUUUUCAUUAUGAAAUAUUUCAAAGUGACAUGAGGAAAAGGUAAUUUUUCAAAUGCUGACAUUUUGUCACCUUGUAUUCCCCACCCAACCCCCACGACCCUUUUCUGAAACCUAGCCUCAUAGCCCCAUCCUUGGAGUCAAAUUGGCGUGUAUUCUUCCCAUAUAAUUUUUACCUUUUAUAUGUAUUUUUACAUACACAGCAUGCAUUUUAAUUCUGACCUUUGUCUUGCCGAUUGCCCCCCCCCAGCUCCCAACCCCCAAACUCAUUAAGAGGUUUUAUCCUGACAUCUCAGAUCAGAAUGGGACUUAAUAAUGAGCAUGUCAACAGCCUCCUCCUUUAGGAGCUAGGAAGUCUGGGACCUGGACAAAAAAAGGGGUUAUACUUCCUGCCUCUUGAAUGGCCUUUACCUGGUAGGACCUGGACUCUGCUUAUUUGAUUUUUUUUCUAGAUGAUCUGUUUACUAAAUCCGGCCACUGAGCUCAUCUGCCUGAGGCUCUUUGUGUGGCAUUCAUAGUAUUUAUUUUGGAAGAAAAUCUAUUAAAAGGAGAUGUGGAAAGGAAGUGUAGAUCACAACCCUACUUGGAUUCAAAGGCACACACACAAAACACUGAAUCUUGGGCUGUCUGAAUGUUUAUUUUGUCAGAUAUUCACACAGUUUUAUUUAUGUCUGGUACUCACUUAAGAACAAGAAUCAUAAAUGAGGAAAAUACCUAAUAAAAAAUAUUAAAAAAAUAAAAUAAAAUAAAAACAUCUUCCCAU